UUCGGUGAUUCGGAAUAGGAUGUCAAAUUGGAUUUUCCGGAGUAUAUCCAGUUGAUUUGUUCGAGUGAAAGGUUUAUGGUUGUAUAGUAAAAGAUUGAAAAAUUUAUACUUACAGACACAUUCUCACUUUUCAUUUACACAUAAAGACACUUUCUGCAUGACACACAUUUUUUUUAGAUGGUUUGUCAUUUCUACCCUCAACUAAGCUACCAAAAUACAUUUCUAUUUUCCUAACUAAACACAAAUUGUCCGGUUACCAAACAAAUAAAGUAAAAAUAUACAAAAAGAUUUAUUCUCUCUCCUCUUUCGAUUUACGAUUGACUUUCAAAAUCACUUUCCCAAUUUUAUGAACCCUAAUCGUGACAAUUUCUUUUCUUCCUCUCCUUCCUCUCUAUGCGCUCUAUUGACGUCACUGGUAACGGAGGCGUCGUCGCCGUCAGGAUCUGUUCUCUCGAAUCCUAUCUUCAUCAACAAGCUCUUCUUACCUCUCGUUCCAUCUCUCAGCCAUGGAGUUACCAAAUCUCGUUCGUCGAAUCAAAAGUGACGUCUCCAAAGUCACUGAACUCACCUCCAUCAAACCCUUUGAGCUCCUCCGUGGAUACUGAAGCCAGUUUGGGAUGUGUUUUCACUCAUGAAAACAGAGGAGAAGAGACAAAAGUUCACAAACUCUAGAAUUUUUUGUAAGUAAAUCCGGAGAGAUGUUGCAUCCACAUAUUAAAACAGAUAUUGUGUUGCUUUGUUCUAAGGACACAACAACUCUGCAGAUGUCCGUUCAUACUUUUUUGUAUCAAUGUCCACAAAUUUAGUCAUACUGACUAAGGAAAGAAAAACCAUUAAAAGCUUUGUUGGACAAAGUUAUAACCUCCAACCUCUUAAAACAAGUUCUCAACUACGAACACAAACAAUUUUUGUGUUUGAGUUUUUCAAAGUUUUUCACAUUUUUUAUCCAUCAAUGUCCACAUCUUUUUUUUGUUUAUAUAUUUUUCCUAUAUGUUUAGAUUUUUCUCAUCCACACUUUUUAUGUCCAUGCAUUUAUUUAUAUAUAUUCUAAAAUAUAUAAAAAAUAUGUAUGAAAAUAGAUCUUAAAAUAUAGAAAAAAAGAAAAUAUAAUUUAUUGUAACAAUUAUAUUUGUUUUGUGUAUCGUAAAAUCUGAGAAAAAUCAAAUCAAAAAUAGAUAAGGAAAUGAAUAAUAAUAAAAAUAUAAAGCAAUGGUCGUAAAUUGACACUUUAUCCUGUACAUCAACGUUAAUAAUUUCAGACGCCUAACUAGAUAGAAAACUCCAGAUGUCUAACUAAACAAAAUAAAACAAUUACACUCAUUUGUUUUCUGUCGCUGAGAAAAUGGUAUUCAUGUCAAAAAGACAUCUA